rnacentral:rRNA from 1 species
UUCUGGGGGGGGCAGUAGUGGAGAUUUUUCAACAAUGGGAGAUAUCGAGCAGCAAAUGCGCCGGAGAGGUGAAAGUUUUUUGGGGUUAAAAAUUUUUCCUUGGGGAAGAGAAAGAUGACGUANCCAAGAAGANNNCNCAUUNC